rnacentral:misc_RNA from 1 species
AAGAGACGUUGCCCUUCGGGGUAUACCUCCCACCCUUUGUUUAUUAUACCUUUGUUGCUUUGACGGGCCCGUCCUCGGACCACCGGCUUCUGCUGGUCAGUGCCCGCCAGAGGACCUAAAACUCUGUUUGUUAAUAUUGUCUGAGUACUAUAUAAUAGUUA